rnacentral:misc_RNA from 1 species
GAUGAAGAACGCAGCGAAAUGCGAUAAGUAAUGUGAAUUGCAGAAUUCAGUGAAUCAUCGAAUCUUUGAACGCACAUUGCGCCCGCCAGUAUUCUGGCGGGCAUGCCUGUUCGAGCGUCAUCACAACCCUCAGGCCCCCGGGCCUGGCGUUGGGGAUCGGCGGAAGCCCCCUGUGGGCACACGCCGUCCCUCAAAUACAGUGGCGGUCCCGCCGCAGCUUCCAUUGCGUAGUAGCUAACACCUCGCAACUGGAGAGCGGCGCGGCCAUGCCGUAAAACACCCAACUUCUGAAUGUUGACCUCGAAUCAGGUAGGAAUACCCGCUGAACUUAAGCAUAUCAAUAAGCGGAGGA